UCUAGCUAGCUCGCACUUGCACUGACAUUUUUGCAUAAUCUACACUGUAUACUUAAAACUAAUUGUUUGAAGUGUGCAAGUAGGCGGUUUGAGACGCAGCCUUUGUUUCACAUUAU